rnacentral:rRNA from 1 species
GGAUUGCCCCAGUAACGGCGAGUGAAGCGGCAAUGGCUCAAAUUUGAAAUCUGGCCCCGUCGGGGUCCGAGUUGUAAUUUGCAGAGGAUGCUUCGGCGUCGGCCCCGGGCCAAGUCCCCUGGAACGGGGCGUCCUAGAGGGUGAGAGCCCCGUACUCUCCCGGGUGUCCGUCGCCGUGUGAAGCUCCUUCGACGAGUCGAGUUGUUUGGGAAUGCAGCUCUAAGCGGGAGGUAAAUUUCUUCUAAAGCUAAAUACCGGCCAGAGACCGAUAGCGCACAAGUAGAGUGAUCGAAAGAUGAAAAGCACUUUGGAAAGAGAGUUAAAAAGCACGUGAAAUUGUUGAAAGGGAAGCUCUUGCCGCCAGACUUGCCGUGGAUGCUCAGCCGCCCCCCGGGGCGGUGUACUCUUCCGCCGGCAGGCCAGCGUCGGUUCGGGCGGCCGGAUAAAGGCCCCGGGAAUGUGGCACCCCUAGGGGUGUGUUAUAGCCUGGGGUGCAAUGCGGCCAGCCCGGUCCGAGGGACGCGUUCGCGAGGACGCUGGCGUAAUGGCUGCAAGCGACCCGUCUUGAAACACGGACCAAGGAGUCUAACAUCUGUGCGAGUGUUUGGGCGUCAAACCCAUACGCGUAAUGAAAGUAAACGGAGGUGGGAACCCCCUCGAGGGGUGCACCAUCGACCGAUCCUGAUGUCUUCGGAUGGAUUUGAGUAAGAGCAUAGCUGUUGGGACCCGAAAGAUGGUGAACUAUUCCCGGAUAGGGUGAAGCCAGAGGAAACUCUGGUGGAGGCUCGCAGCGGUUCUGACGUGCAAAUCGAUCGUCAAAUCUAGGAAUAGGGGCGAAAGACUAAUCGAACC